UCCAGCGCUCAGUCAGCUGACCAGGCGGCGUGUCUGGCUCGGUGUUACAGUGCUGGUAGAGGAAGCUCUGCUCUGGGCCUCGGCGCUGCAGGCUCUGUUUUGGAGCCUGCAGCUGCUGAGCUGUGGCAGAGCGCGGCCCAACGAGAGUGGCCCGUCCUGGUCUGCCAGCAGGACGGGCCUAGUGCAGGGCUGCACACC
ensembl:snoRNA SNORA74 Small nucleolar RNA SNORA74